rnacentral:misc_RNA from 1 species
GAUGGAAGAACGUAGCGAAAUGCGAUAAGUAAUGUGAAUUGCAGAAUUCAGUGAAUCAUCGAAUCUUUGAACGCACAUUGCGCCCCUUGGUAUUCCGAGGGGCAUGCCUGUUCGAGCGUCAUUAUAACCCCUCAAGCUUAGCUUGGUGUUGGGGCCUGCUGUAAUAGAGCAGCCCUUAAAAUCAGUGGCGGUGCCAUUAGGCUCUAAGCGUAGUAAUUCUUCUCGCUAUAGGGUUCUGGUGGAUGCUUGCCAUUAACCUCUAAUUUUCUAUGGUUGACCUCGGAUCAGGUAGGGAUACCCGCUGAACUUAAGCAUAUCAUAAGCGGAGGA